rnacentral:misc_RNA from 1 species
AACACUGUUAACCUGCGGUACCUGCGGAAGGAUCAUUACACAAUACAAUAUGAAGGCUGUCCGCAGCUGGAGUAUUUUAUUACCCUUGUCUUUUGCGCACUUGUUGUUUCCUGGGCGGGUUCGCUCGCCACCAGGACCACCAAAUAAACCUUUUUUAUGCAGUUGCAAUCAGCGUCAGUACAAACAAUGUAAAUCAUUUACAACUUUCAGCAAUGGAUCU